UACGUAGGGAGCAAGCGUUGUCCGGAAUCAUUGGGCGUAAAGCGCGCGUAGGCGGCCCGGUAAGUCCGUUGUAAAAGUCGAAGGCUCAACCUUCGAAAGCCGAUGGAUACUGCCGGGCUAGAGUUCGGAAGAGGCGAGUGGGAAUUCCUGGUGUAGCGGUGGAAUGCGCAGAUAUCAGGAGGAACACCUAUAGCGAAGGCAGCUCGCUGGUACGACACUGACGUAAGGCGCGAAAAGCGUGGGG
rnacentral:rRNA from 1 species